AUCAAAAGUUAUGGGGAUAGGGCAGGAACUGGAUACUGGUAGUGGAUGAUCAGCCAUGAUCACAGUGAAUGGCGGCGCUGGCUCGAAGGGCCGAAUGGCCUACUCCUGCACCUAUUGUCUAUUAUCUAUUGUCUUUGUACUAGGGGAGGAAACUGGAGCACCCAGAGGAAAUCUACGUGGACACAGGGAGAAUGUACAGAUUCCUUACAGGCAGCAGUGGAAAUUGAAUCCGCAUUGCUGGUGCUGUAAAUAGUUGUGCUAACCACUAAGCAAUUGUGCUAUUCCCCUUAUCUUGAGAAUGCUCUAUCAAAAGGAAAUAUGCUCUAUUUGCUCUUUUCAUUAAUUGGUGCUGCAAUUUAAUACUACUUUAGAAGCAGAUCCAACAGAUCUAUGAUGUCUUACGAUGUAUCACCCUCCAUAUGAGGUUAUCACGACAAAAUAAUUUACAGAAUCAACUAUGUUGGUAAUUGUUGGUGACCAUGGUGUUUACAUUGUAAUAGUGUUGCAGGGUGAAGAUGUGUCUCUACCAAAGGAGGUGUAAGGUGCACCUUCCCUCUGCUAGUAUGAGGGUCACCCUUGGGCAAGGUGUAGCACCCGCUUAGCUCUAUCCUCAUCACCCCCAUGAUCAGGGUCAUGUGAAGCAAUGCAACCACUGACUCCAGGCAGAAAAUCUCUGAAGAGUAGUGAUAAUAGCUGGGGUCACCCAUCUUGUAAAGACAUUGCCCAGAAAAAGGCAAUGGCAAACCACUUCAGGAAAGAAAAUUGCCAGAAACAAUCAGUUUCACAACCUGCUUAAAUUACACAUAAUCUCUUCAAAUAUCUCAAGCAAUUUCUGGAUUCUCAAUUUUUCCACUUACCGAGUACAUACUGCUAUAAUUAAACAGUUGUGUGCUAUACAUUGAUUUCAGUGUACAUGACAGAUUCAUCAGUCUUUGUAAAGGCUGUUGACAGAUAUUUACAGAUAAUAUAUUUUAAUUAUUUCACAUAGGAAUCUAUUCUAUAUUGCAGUAUACUAACAAGGAAAGAUGCUUUAACAGUACAGUCUGUUUAAAUAUUGUGAAGAAAAUCAUAAAAAUUGAACAAAGGUGACUUUUUAUAUGAAUUUUCUUUAAAAAAAAAUGGCCAUGGGGCCUGACCUGAAAAGUACACUCAGUGGCCACUUUAUUGGGUACACCAGCUUGUUAAUGCAAAUAUCUAAUCAGCCAAUCAUGUGGCGGCAACUCAAUGCAUAAAGGCAUGCAGACAUGAUCAAGAGGUUCAGUUGUUCAGACCAAACAUCAGAAUGAGGAAGAAAUGUGAUCUAAGUGACUUUGACAGUGGAAUAAAUGUUGGUGCCUGACAGGGUGGUUUGAGUGUCGCAGAAACUGCCGGUCUCUUGGAAUUUUCACACACAACAGUCUCUAGAUUUUACAGAGAUUGGUGCAAAAAACAGAAAAUAUCCAGUGAAUGGCAGUUCUGUAGGUGAACGAGUAGUCUUUGGAGUACUGCAAGUCUAUAUCUUUGCUGUUGCUUUGUUGCAUGCUUGAGUGCUCGGUGGUGGUGCCAAUGCUUUUUUUUUGCUGGUGGGGGAGGGGGAAUCGUUGCUUGCUGCCGCGUACGCAUGGGAGAGAGGGGAGCCGGGGGGGGACUUUGGGGUUCUAACAUUUAACUGUCAUUCAUACUUUGGGGGCACUCCUGUGUUUUUACGUGGAUGGUUGCAAAGAAAAAGCAUUUCAGUGUGUAUAGUACACAUUUCUCUGACAUUAAAUGUACCUUUGAAACUUAUGAAAAUAACCUAUUAAUAAGAAAGGUCAGAAGAGAAUGAUCAGACUGCUUCAAGCUGACAGGAAGGUGACCAUAACUCAAAUGAAUGUGUGCAGAAGAGCAUCUCUGAACACAAAAUAUGCCAAAUGUCUACAGCAGCAUAAGACCAUAAACCUGCAAUCAGCUGCCACUUUAGGUACAGGAGGUAUCUAAUAAAGUGGACACUGAGUAGUAUAUAUUUUCCUUCAUUGCUGGGUUUAAAUCUUAGAACUCCUCACCCAAUAUCACUGUUGGAGUACAUUCACAAGAAGGAUUGCAGUAGUCAAGAAGGCAAUCUGUCAUCACUUUCUCAAGGACUUCUGUGGAUGCUUUAUAAACGCAGGCCCUGCAUUUGUAUUGCACGCACUGUAUAAAUUCAUGAAGUUGAAAGGUGGCCUCUGGAAGAAGUGAGAUGAGGUGAAUAUAGUUCAGGUGCGCUCAGUAUUGGCGAGGGGGGGGGGGUUGGUGAGUGUAAUGGAAUGUAUUAGGAGUAUGGAGCCUGUUGCUGCUUUAGAUGUUCAGCUGUUUAGGGUUGAAACCAAAGGAGUGUCUGCUAAUACCUCAAAAGCCUUCAGAAUGGGAAAUUUUGUGAGGGUAAGAUGUGAAUAGUAAGGUUUUGGUGAGGUUGGGCAUGCACAAGUAGUCAGGCACAAAAUUGGAGACACUGAGGUGGAUCCAUACUGAGAUUUUUAGAAGCAUAUCAAAGAUAAGCUAUAAUGUAAUUUACUGAAUGCUUAGUUUUUGUAUUAGGCACUAAAUUGAAACACAAUUAUAAUUCUUCAAUUUGCAUAAUUGUACUUAUUAAAUCUCACUCUUUUCUCCCCCUCAAACUGUCUGACUUCACUGGCAUUAUGAAAAUUGUUGAUUUUGUCUGUCUCAGCUCAUUGGUAAUUAUCUUGAAUCCAAGAUAAAGGUGUUGGUUUAAAGUACAUCUCAAGGCUUUCUGCAUUUAAUUUUGGUUGGUAUUUCAACGAACUGCUCAGGGAAUGCUCCAACAACAAGGCAUUCUCCAUUGGACAAUCUCAAUAAAAAACAUGCACUGGAGGCACGAAGCAGUACUUUAAGAUAAAGUUGAAGAAAAGUUGGAUUCAGGCAAAUUGAGAGUUUUAAAACACUUUCCCGCUGGUCAAAAGCUGUUAAUAGUGUUCAAUGGACAGACCUUCAGCGAUAUGCAGAUUGAGGACUCCUUGUACUCCGCCUCAGCAUGCUUGGGAUUGAGAGCUCCAUCACCUGAACCAGGGUUCUUUUGAAGACCCUGACAUGGAGUUACACAUUGACUUCAGUUCUUUGCAGAAAUGGGACCCGCUCUCAGGGUUUCACGACUGGCCAUUAUUCGACAUGCCAAGGACGUGGCCUAAGAGCUUCGCUCAUCUUCGAAGGUCAGAGAUUUCGUGGCUCUGGAGACAGGGGGAAUUGGAGGUUAGUGUCUGGGCAAGAGAUUGGUGUGUUGUGGGAGAUGGAAGAUCUGAGGCUGUGUGCCUGGAGACCUGAGAUCCUUGGGCACAGAGCUCGGAAAAAGCGACGAAACGGACUUUUAACAUCAUAAAUCAGCGAGUUGUUUGUUAUGCCUCCCCUCUUGCUGUGAAAAGGAGACACCCCUUUCUCCCUUAUUAGGGAGAGAGAGAGCCUGUGGUGUGUCAAAUACCGAGUGAAUGAGCAGUCUUUGGAGUACUGCAAGUCUGUGUCUUUGCUGUUGCUCUGUUCACACUUGAGUGUUCGGUGGCGGUGCCAGUGAGGGCAGAGAGGAUCGUUGCUUGCUGCCACUUAUGGGCGGGAGGGAGGGGAGCUGGGGGGGGCGGACUUUGGGGUUCUAACAUUUAACUAUCAUUCAUUCUUUGGAGGCACCUCCUCUGCUUUUCGUGGAUGGUUGCAAAGAAAAAGCAUUUCAGGAUGUAUAUUGUAUACACUUCUCUGACUUUACAUGUACCUUUGAAACCUUUGAAAAGCAUCAUCAAUUAUUAAGAACCCCCAUCACCCAGGGCUUGACCUGUUCUCAUUGCCACCAUCAAGGAGGAGGUACAGGAGCCUGAAGGCACACACUCAAUGAUUCAGGAACAGCUUCUUCCCCUCUGCCAUCCAAAUUCUGAAUGGACAUUGAUGAACACUACCUCACUACUUUUUUGUCUCUACUUUUGCACUACUUACUUAACUACUUAAUAUAUAUAUUUACUGUAAUUCACAUGACUUUUUUUCUAUUGCAUUGUACUGCUGCAGCAAAGACAAGUAAUUUCACGACAUAUGCUGAUGAAUUAAACCUGAUUCUUAGAGUGAAGUCCUGAUGCAGGGUUUUGAUCCCAAAACAUCAACCAUCCCUUUGCCUCCACAGAUGCUGGUCCUUAUACUUGGCUCUUUCAUGGGUGUAAAAUAAUUGCUAAAGGAUUCAUCUUUGACCACAGUGCCAAAAUAUCUUCUUACAUUAUGUUUAUGUUUGAAAUGCACAAUAUUAACCAUCUAUUAUUUGUAGGUUUGUCUUUGGUUUAUAUUUUGUUUUCUGUAGCUUUCCCAGAAGCAACUACCAUCUUCUGGAAAUGUACAAGUCACAUACAGUACAUCAUAGCUAGCUGAAUUCAAUAUAAAAAUAAAUUGCAAUCUUAAUUACAAUUUGCAACAAUCUUUGAUGAGUGGUGAUUCACAAUGAAUGACUAAUCAUACUUCUAGUUCAUUUAAUACACCAAUUUAGAAAACUAGCAAAAUAAAAAAAGUCUCAAGAGUUUGGGAAAGCCAAAAAUAUAACACAUCUA